rnacentral:lncRNA from 1 species
GACACCUAGCCCACUAAGUUCCACUAAUUGUUAGUGGAACAUUAGGUGUUGAGAUUUGGCAAUUGAAUUGCAUGCAUUUUUUGCAUGUAAUUAGGCUAUAAAUAGAGAUGUUUUCAAAUGUUGAAGGACUUUUGCCUCUUUUAUCAUUUUCAUAAUCUCAACAAAAGAAAAAGAAAGCUUCCAAUCUCAUUUUAUCUCCAUUACUUUCUACACCAAAAUUGGGUCCCACAACCCGGUUCUUUGUCAGAGGAUAGCAGUUGAGUACUAGUGGUGGUCUCGGGUAGAAUUGGUAAGAAGACAUCAAACCUUUUGUAAGCUUCAAAGGUAAUACUUCUUAAAACCCUAAUUUGAUUAGUUUAUGGUUACAUGUUAAUUGUGGCAAUUAGGGUAGAAAUUCGAUUCUUUUUCCGCUGUGCAUGACUUAGUUCUAUCAUGCCUUAAAUAUCAAGAUAAUUAAAUUAUUAUUUUAAAAUUGGAAGAAACUCAACAUUAAAAAAUAUUAACUUGUUCGGACACAAGCAUAGAAGCACUGCGCACACACGUACACAUGCACACUUACACAAACGCGUGCACACGCACACCUACACAUAGACACCCACAGAUGCACGAACCCACGCACACACACAUGCACAAGCGCACGCACGCACACACACACGUAUCCACACGCACACAAGCACAUACACAUGCACAAACGCACACACGUGUACGCACAAACCUUAUCUCAAAAUAGUUCCUAUUUUUGCUGACAGUUUAUUUUUUGCCAUCGAUAGAGGAUCUUCCAAUAGACCUACGUGACAGUGUGUGUUGACAGCUUAAUUUCGUUGGCAAAAGAAAAGUUGAUUAGUUUUUGAAGAUUUACUGACGAUAUUUGUCAUCGACAAAGGGUAAAUUUCUUGGAGUGCAUGUACAUCAAACAUAUCAAAUUUGUUAAGUUUACCAAUGAAGUAUAACAAGUUUAUUAGUGGUGUAUCACGUGUAUCAAACUUAUAAGUGAAAUCUUUAAGUGUAUCAAACUAAUCAAGUGUAUCAAGGUCUCAGGGGUAUCAAGUGUAUCAAGAAGAAUCAAGUGUAACGAGAAGUAUUAUGUGGAACGAGAAGUAUUAUGUGUAUGAAGAUGUUUCAAGUGUGUAUCAAAAAGUAUCGAGUGUAUCAAUGAGUACCGAGUGCAUGAAUUGUAUCUAUCAAAUGUAUCAAGUGUAUCAGUAAGAAGUAUCAAGUGUAUCAAGGGGUAUUAGGUGUAUCAGACGUGUAUAAGGUGUAUCAAAUAUACAUCAAUAACGAGGGCAUUUGUGACAUUUUACCUCUUGAUGUGUGAGUUGGUCUUUGUUUUUGUCACUUUCUCAAAUAAUAAGGUAUGUGUUCUAUGGACUUAAUUAAUUAUAACUUAUUUUGCCAUUUUUGCAAGUGUCCCUUAAUUGUAAUACAUGUAUAUGUGACAUAAUAUAAUCAAACUAACUCAUAAAUGGACUUAAUCUAUCUCAUGGACCACAAAUUCUUCAAUUACUUGCAAAUUUGGUGAGUUCCUUCAAAUGGUGGGCGGAGAGCUUAAUUUUGAGAGAGAGGAAAAGUCGUGAAGAGUAUUUGCGAGAGAGGGGGGAACGUCGCCAAAGAGCAUUUGCGAGAGAGCUAAAGACAACGACGAUGUGGGAUGAAGUAAGGUUUUUUUCGGUCAUUGUUCACAAGUGGGAUGAAAGCUUCGAAUUAUUUGUUUUAAAUCAAAAGCGUAUGAUUGAAGGAAAACAUUGAUUUUUUAUUAGGGUAAUUUUUAAUGACACAUAAUUUAUGCCAUUAUUUACAAUGCCAAAAUUUUGUCAAGAAAACUCAAUUUGUGUCACAAAAAAUUUUGUAUUUUUAUUUUUAACGACACAUUUUAUUCCCUCAUAUCCCUUUUUCUUGAUUUCUAGUGUCAUUAAAACUUAUAUUUCUAAAUAAAUUUAUUCGACGAAAGUGGCUAGAUUGGUGGGUUCGACGGCGAAGGCUUGUUGGGCAGCAACGACAACAGUGGUUGGAGUGUGGAAUCGACGACGACAAGUGGCAAAAAAUUGAAAGGCAAGGGUUCUUCAUAACGACUCGGUAGCCCACUUCGUUCGACGAGAAUUUUUUUGCAUUUUUAGUAGAGUGAGAAAAAAAUUGCAUUAAGACUUCAUUCGACGACAUCGUUUUUGCUUAGAGAAAAUUUGAGGUUUUUACUUUGUUGUAAUUGCGUGAGAGAGGGAAAUUUUGAAAUUUUGAAAAUUUGAGGUUUUU